rnacentral:rRNA from 1 species
UACGGGGGGGGGCAAGCGUUGUUCGGAAUUACUGGGCGUAAAGGGCUCGUAGGUGGCCAACUAGGUCAGACGUGAAAUCCCUAGGCUCAACCUAGGAACUGCGUCUGAUACUGGAUGGCUUGAAUCCGGGAGAGGGAUGCGGAAUUCCAGGUGUAGCGGUGAAAUGCGUAGAUAUCUGGAGGAACACCGGUGGCGAAGGCGGCAUCCUGGACCGGUAUUGACACUGAAAAGCGAAAGCCAGGGGAGCAAACGGG